UGACCUAGAUAGAUAAUAAUAAAUGCAUAAUAAUAAAGUGAGGGUUGGGGUUUAACCUCGAUCUGGUCUCCAAUGUGAAAAAGGAGAGAGUUUGGCACAUAAUCAACGGCAACCCAGUUCCCAUCUUUCCACACUUGCAGGCCGGGGACAUCGUUGGGGACA